GAUGAACGCUGGCGGCGUGCUUAACACAUGCAAGUCGAACGGUGAAGCAGAGCUUGCUCUGUGGAUCAGUGGCGAACGGGUGAGUAACACGUGAGCAACCUGCCCCUGACUCUGGGAUAAGCGCUGGAAACGGCGUCUACUCCUGGAUAUGAGCUGCGACCGCAUGGUCAGCAGUUGGAAAGAUUUUUCGGUCUGGGAUGGGCUCACGGCCUAUCAGCUUGUUGGUGAGGUAAUGGCUCACCAAGGCGUCGACGGGUAGCCGGCCUGAGAGGGUGACCGGCCACACUGGGACUGAGACACGGCCCAGACUCCUACGGGAGGCAGCAGUGGGGAAUAUUGCACAAUGGGCGAAAGCCUGAUGCAGCAACGCCGCGUGAGGGAUGACGGCCUUCGGGUUGUAAACCUCUUUUAGCAGGGAAGAAGCGAAAGUGACGGUACCUGCAGAAAAAGCGCCGGCUAACUACGUG
rnacentral:rRNA from 1 species